UCCCACCCGUGUUUACUGUACCUUAGUUGCUUCGGCGGGCCCGCCAUUCAUGGCCGCCGGGGGCUCUCAGCCCCGGGCCCGCGCCCGCCGGAGACACCACGAACUCUGUCUGAUCUAGUGAAGUCUGAGUUGAUUGUAUCGCAAUCAGUUAAAACUUUCAACAAUGGAUCUCUUGGUUCCGGCAUCGAUGAAGAACGCAGCGAAAUGCGAUAACUAGUGUGAAUUGCAGAAUUCCGUGAAUCAUCGAGUCUUUGAACGCACAUUGCGCCCCCUGGUAUUCCGGGGGGCAUGCCUGUCCGAGCGUCAUUGCUGCCCAUCAAGCACGGCUUGUGUGUUGGGUCGUCGUCCCCUCUCCGGGGGGGACGGGCCCCAAAGGCAGCGGCGGCACCGCGUCCGAUCCUCGAGCGUAUGGGGCUUUGUCACCCGCUCUGUAGGCCCGGCCGGCGCUUGCCGAACGCAAAUCAAUCUUUUUCCAGGUUGACCUCGGAUCAGGUAGGGAUACCCGCUGAACUUAAGCAUAUCAAUAAGC
rnacentral:rRNA from 1 species